rnacentral:misc_RNA from 1 species
GAUGAAGAACGUAGCGAAAUGCGAUAAGUAAUGUGAAUUGCAGAAUUCAGUGAAUCAUCGAAUCUUUGGACGCACCUUGCGCUCCUUGGUAUUCCGAGGAGCAUGCCUGUUUGAGUGUCAUGAAAUUCUCAACCUUUUCAGCUUUCUUUGUUGAUCAGGCUUGGAUGUGGGAGUAUGCGGGCUUCUCAGAAGUCGGCUCUCCUGAAAUGCAUUAGCGGGACCUUUGUUGCCUGGCUUUGGUGUGAUAAUUAUCUACGCCAUUGUAGUCAAGCAGCUUAAAAUGAGGUUUCAGCUUCUAACCGUCUCCCCUGAGACAACUUUUUGACAAUUUGACCUCAAAUCAGGUAGGACUACCCGCUGAACUUAAGCAUAUCAAUAAGCGGAGGA